rnacentral:rRNA from 1 species
AUUUUUAUAAGUAAAAUCUGCUCCAUGUUAAAAUAAAUAGCCGCAGAAUUUAAAUCUGUGCUAAGGUAGCAUAAUCAUUAGUCUUAUAAUUAAAGACUCGUAUGAACGAUUUUACAAUCUAAUUACUUUUUUAUUUAAAAUAAUUUAAUUUAAAUUAAAAAUAAAAAUGUUUUUAUAAAUAAAAAAGACGACAAGACCCUAAUGAACUUUACUAAAGUUAAGCUGGGGAAGCUAAUUAAAAAUAAUUUUAAUUUAUAUUUUUUAAAAAAAUAUCCAUUAAAUUGAUUAUAAACAAGUUACCAUAGGGAUAACAGCGUAAUAUUUUUUAUAAGCUCUUAUUUAAAAAAAUGUUUACGACCUCGAUGUUGAAUUAAUUUUCUUUUAAACGCAAUUGUAUAAAAAGUAGGUCUGUUCGACCUUUAAAAAAUUACA